CAGGGCCUGCAAGAAGGCUGUGAUGAUCCAAGGGCUGAACCACCAGCACUGGUGCUCAAUGAUGUGUGCAUGGGCUGUGAACCAAUCCGGGAAAGAGACCACCCUCCUUUCGAAUUCUGGACUUGCCCAAGCCCAUCUGAGCUGCCAGCAUUUGUGGGAACAGCAGGAGAUGAUGCCCCAGCAGAACUAUAUAGAAGAGCAGCGAUAGCAUACAUGGAUGCAACAAAAUAAGAUUUAACAAAAUCAUUAUGAGAAAUCCAACAUCAUGAACUUGCAGAAAAACUCUCUUUGUCAUAAAUUUACCAUCAUUAUUCGCAGUUUCUUGUAAGGACUAAGGACAUAAUUUCCACUACAUAAUUUUCAAACUUUAUGCAAGGAAGUAAUAUCACUCUGUAGCCCGCACUUAACUUCAUGGACUGAUAUUUUCCAGUUGUGACAUGCCACGUAAACUCCCAUAGUCCCUUAGUAUUCUACUUCCAAAUAUAAAACUUGAAAACAAAUUGAAGGAAGGAUGUAAAGCUAAUGCGGAUCAUUUCAUGGUCAGCCAAUACUAUUUAAUUCAAAGAUAUUAACGAAACUCAGCAGAAAAAGAAUGAAAUUUUAGUCUGCACUCUUACAGAGUAAUUAUUCAAGGACUGCAGAAAAUCAACAGGCAUUACAUAUUUUACAUGCCCUAAUUUCUCAGCACAUCUCUCAAACGCAAGUCGUGGGCACAAUAAAGAGGAUAAAAUCAAACAGACUAAGAGUUCGAGCAUAGAAUUGAACCAUAAAGAACCAAAAAACCGUAGCAACAAGUAGCUAAGAUUACAUCGUGAAGCUCAACAAUUAGCAAUUCGGGAGUAAGAGGGUUCUCGAGAGACACAAAGUAAUUCACCUGGCAGCGUGAGUGAGGCUCGGAGGAGGAGACGUAGAUCUCGGGGGCAAUAACGGGUCGCGUGAGGAGCUCACGGCUUCGUCCUUCAUCCCUCGCUCUCGUUCUCUCUAUCUCUCUCUCUAUAUAUAUAAUAGAGAGAAGGAGUCGGCGGUGGCUAAUCCAUGGCCGAGUGAGAGAUAGCAAGGGGUGGGGAUUGUGUGAUCAUGAGCAAGAAUGAAAAAGAUAGAUCUGAAAAAGAAUGAGGUGGCAGAUCGGCGGACAUGGCUGCCGUGGUCGCCGGAAAUCACAAAGAGGCGGUGAGACUUUGGGGAUCUAGGGGCUCGGCGAUUCGCGGUUGGUGCCAGCGAGGUCGAGCCCCUCGUGGUGUUGACGAAUUUUCCCC
rnacentral:lncRNA from 1 species